GUCUCCUUCUCGCUGCCGUUGAAGGAGCCCUCGCAGAACCAAUUGCAGUUGCCCACGUUGGCGGGGAUGUUGCAGGCCCCGGGCAGGGUGCAGCCGUGGCAGCUGGGGGGCACGCAGGGCCGGGAGGAGCAGCUGGAGCGGCAGCUCAGGCUGGGCAGGCAGCAGUUGUACGGCAUGGCGCUGGGAGGGAGCGAGGUGCCCGGCUGAAGAGCGAGUCCAAGUUCUCCAAGCCACGGAGCUGUGGGUCUCCUUCCUCGGGGCUGCAUUUAUACCCCCGCCGUGGAGGCGUGGACGUGGUAGGCGAUGUCUUUCUUCUUUUUAUUUCUUCACUGGUUUUCAAACGCCCUUCGCCCCAGUCUGUUAUUUGCUUUCCUCACCAGAGUCCCUUCUCCCAUAAAAUUCUUUACUGAGCUUCUUGCUAAGUCAGGGCUCCAGCUCGGGCUGUGUACCCAUGAAUUCACGCUCUGUGGUAGACCUUCAAAGAGGCCAUUAACUGGGAGUUGGUCCAUGCAGUGGCAUUCUUCUGUGUCACGUGAUGCUGCAAGUGCAAAAGUAUCUCAGGUCCUGCCCCCCCCCGCCCCAACAUUUCCAGGGGGAGACACAGAUUGCUUUUGAGGAAGAAGUCGCCUCAAAUGGCAGCAGCAGACUCUCCUGCCCUUUGCUUUAAGAGAAGAGUCUUUAAAUGAUGUAGCACCCCCGUCCCUGGAAGUCUUGAGCUGGAUGAUGAAGGUUGACUUGGGCCAUGGUUGCAAAGGUUGGACACCUGUUAGUGCUUUAAGGGAGUACACAAUGCCCUCUGCAUCAUGUCUGAGAGCUGUAAGGGGAGGGUUUUAGGGGUGGGGGCUUCAAUAAUUAGUUUGACAAAGGGAAAUUUUCUGGAAAAAAAUUUUAAAUGAGGGCUUAAAAAUGCAAGCUGGGAGACCCACAUGCAUGCACUUAAACUGCCCAGGAAAAGUGUCUGGAGGCAGAAGUGAGUGAGACUGGAAUGAGGAAGUGCCGUCCAACUUUUCCACAGAGAAUGGGUACAUUGGGAAAAUUGGGGGGAAGUCCAAUGGGGCCAAUCACCUGAAGUUGAUCCCAAAACUUUAUACCAAUGACCUUAUAGUCCAUAAUAUUUCCGUGUUGGCUUGAACAUAAAAAAAAAUCAUUCUUAAAUUUCCCCUUAAACUUUCAAACCUUUUCCCCAAUUCUGUAAGUGAAUUGAAUAGAGCACCAGGAUGCUCCAUGUUCUGUCUUGGGCUCCCCAGCCCUACUGGCUUACAUACAACCUGCUUUAAAAACCAAAGGGGCCUGCGCCAUGGCUCACUAGGCUAAUCCUCCACCUGCGGCGCCAGCACACCGGGUUCUAGUCCCGGUCGGGGCGCCGGAUUCUGUCCUGGUUGCCCCUCUUCCAGGCCAGCUCUUUGCUGUGGCCCAGGAGUGCAGUGGAGGAUGGCCCAGGUGCUUGGGCCCUGCACCCCAUGGGAGACCAGGAGAAGCACCUGGCUCCUGCCUUUGGAUCAGCGCAGUGCGCCAGCCGCGGCGGCCACUGGGGGGUGAACCAACGGCAAAGGAAGACCUUUCUCUUUGUCUCUCUCUCUCUCUCUCUCACUGUCCACUCUGCACUCUGCCUGUCAAAAAAAAAAAAAAAAGGUAUCAGGGCAAGCACCUGGUGUAGGGGUCGACCCCUCUUGGACCACCCACACCUCAUAUUGGAGUGCCUGGGUCGAGUGCUCCUGAAUCCAGCUUGGCGCUAAUGCACACUCUGGGAGGCAGCAGGUGAUGCCUCAAGUAGUUGGAUCCCUGCCACCCACAUGGGAGACCUGGCCUGGAUUCCCAGCUCCUGGCUUCAGCCUGGCUCAGCCUCUGUUGUUGGAGGCUUUUGGAAAACAAACCAACAAAUGAGAGACAUCUCUCUCUCUCUCUCUCUUUCUCUCUCUCUCUCAUGUGUGUGUGUGUGUCUGCCUUUAAAAUAAAUACGUGCGUUUUUAAAAGCACCAAAGAUAUGAAGGUGCAAGAGGAGGACUCUGUGGUUUUGUACUUGAAUCUAAGGACCUGGGCACCAGGGAAGGAAAAGCAAGGGGUUGUGUGAAGCAGUGCGGAGCCAUUUGGGGCUGCCUAGGCAGGUGAAGGAAGGCACCGGCAGGCCUGGAGAAGGGGCGGCCACAGUUCUGAACACACAGAAGUUGCCUCGGGCUGGUGUGUGGGGCAGCAGGCUAAGCCACUUGCACCUCGAGCAUCUCAGACAGGAGCCCUGGUACAAGACCCUGCGGCUCUGUUUCCGACCCAGCUUCCUGCCAAUGCACCUGGGAAGGCAGUGGAAAAUGACACAAGUAUUUGGACCUCUACCACCCAAGUGGGAGACCACAUGGAGUUCCUGGUUUCUGGCUUUGGCUUGGCCAAAGACCUGGCUGUUGCAGCCAUUUGGGGAAUGAACCAGUGGAUGGAUGAAAGAUCUCACUCACUCGCCCGCUCGCUCUCUGUCUAUCUUCCUCUGCCUUUCAAAUAACUAAAUAAACAAAUCAUCUUUAAAAUGUCCAAUUAAAGGCACCUCCAGAUACCACCUGCCUUGCGGGAGGCGGCACCCCAACCUCCCCCGCGGCUUUGGCUGCCAGCCAGGGCUACAGCUCUGUGGACAAUUAUUGGAGUCCUUCCCCCCAUGGAGCUGUCACGAGUCUUCAUGGCAUGCUUUGCUUGGGUCUCAGAUAAAAGGCCCCUCAGCUAUACUCCCCAAGACCAUUAUCAUGGCUUAUUAUAAUGCCAUUCAGAUGAAAAGCUCCCAGUACUACAAAGAGAUCCCAGAGUGGCAAUAAAAUCCAAUUUUCUUUGUUUUCUUCCAAGACAAUCAAAGGAGGAGGAAGCACAGAGGCUGGCAGGCAGGGACUGGGGUGAGUGGAAAGGCCCGUGAGCACUGGUGCGCACUCACUUGUAGGAAUGCCAGCAGCACUCUCCACGCUCUUCGGUCUACUCCACUGGUCGGCAGGUGCAGGAGCAUGCGUGCUUCCGGCAAAGGAGACUGUUCAGGUUGUGAGUAUGAGAAGAUUCAGGAAUUGGGUCAACAAAAAAGCAAAAAUAGAAUAUUUCUGUACAAAGCAGGGGAUCAGAGAAAUGGAGCAAGCUGCAGACAAGGGGGGCUGUGCUUGAUAAGAGAGAGAAGCAAAUGAAGAAGCAAGAGGGAAACCUGGGCUGAAUCAUCAGAACUGUCCAGGGCCAUGCAAAUCAGACACAGCUAACCCUAUUCAAAUGGGCUAACCUGGAAAAGGAAAGCUGAGAAUCAGCCAAGACAAACGAAGCUGAUGGACGGAACAGUGGCCCUGCAGCCCUGUGUCCUGUGACACACCAGUGGAGAUGACUCAGACACAGGACCGCAGCUUCUGGAGCCUCUGAAGGGAGCGACGUUGCUCCCAGGUGUCCAGAGCCGGAGAUGUGUUGGUGGCUGAGAAAUGCAUCCCCGUCUGCACCCGGGGGAGGAGCGAUUCUACGGACAAGGAGCAUACAAACGAAGGAGGAAAAAAGGACCAGGGACGAGCAGACCUGCUGUAGCUUCAGGUCAUGGCCAGGCGGCAGCCACACUGGAGACGCAGGAGAGGACGGGUGCUAGAGAAGGCUGCUGUCCCCUGCUGGCUGCCCUGCACAAGGCGAAAUGGCACGAGGAUCCGGAGAGGAGACUGCAGGCAGACUGACCUUCACAGCCAUAGCUCACCACUCACAGGCGGCAUCCCCAUCACACCCCCGUGAGAUGCCAGCAGCAGACUCACGGGCAUCGUCCGUGGAUUGGCCAGGGACAGAAGAAGGAUGGGGUUCCCAAGCAGAAGAGCGAAGUCCUUGACAACCCCAGCAAGUGGGAGCCGUGAGAAGCCGGAGGGUCCGCCGUGCCGGGUCUGGGUGCAGACGACCGGCAAGGCGCGCUUCAGCCCUGUGCAGGGUCCAGGUCAGCUGCAGGACAGAAGACUGCCUGGGGACGGGGCAGCUCCCAUGUGCAAACUCCAGGCGAAGACCUGCAGCUCUCACUGGUCCCGGCCCCUGAGCAAGGCUGUGAGCGCCUUUUCCUAAUUGCUCUCCUACCUCCUGGUCCUUCUGCCGGGCCUCCAGGCAUCCUCCUGGAGCUGAGCCCUCCACAGCGGCCUUCGCACAGCCUUCCUCUCUCGGCAAGGCGGUGCCAGAGCCAUGCCUGGACCAGGGCCGCCCUCUGCCACUGUAGCACAAACAGCGCAGAAACAAACAGCGUGGGAUAAGAACCUCAUUCACCGGGACAGGCGGCAGCUGCACCGGACCUGGGAGCUGUGGUUUGCCGCCCCCUGCUUCCCACAGCCCAGGGAGUGCGGCCUCCAAAUUGGAGCACAGGGAAGACUCCAGUCUGCUGCACAGUCAGAGGACAGGGGCGGGAGCAGGACCCCCGGAAUCCACGCCGCCAGCACCCGGCGACCAGGGCUGGACGUGCACCGGAACCUCUGAAGCAAAGGCGCCCGUGGGCUGGCUCUGCUGUGCCGCUGCCGCUGCUGUUUCUCAAACUUGAGCCUCAGCAGAGCUCUAAACAGUGACCCAGCCGCCCUUGUCCUCGGGGAAUGUCAGAGAGGCGGGAUUUGUUGCGAUUUCCUUCCACGGACACUUACAAGCACUGAGAGCCCCGCCCAGGCCUUGGCGGGGGGGGGGGG